rnacentral:rRNA from 1 species
GACGAACGCUGGCGGCGCGCCUAACACAUGCAAGUCGAGCGAGAACCAUUCCUUCGGGAAUGGGGACAGCGGCGAACGGGUGAGUAACACGUGGGUAAUCUACCCUCGGCUCUGGGGAUAGCCCGGGGGAAACCCGGAUUAAUACCGGGAUAGCCUCUUGGGGCCCUUCGGGUUCGUUGUAGAAAAGGUAAGCGUUCGGCCUCCGACUGAGGAUGAGCCCGCGGCGGAUUAGCUUGUUGGCGGGGUAACGGCCCACCAAGGCUACGAUCCGUAGCUGGUCUGAGAGGACGAUCAGCCACACUGGGACUGAGACACGGCCC